rnacentral:rRNA from 1 species
ACCGGAAACGGUAGCUAAUACCGAAUAGUUGUUUUCUUCUCCUGAAGAGAACUGGAAAGACGGAGCAAUCUGUCACUUGGGGAUGGGCCUGCGGCGCAUUAGCUAGUUGGUGGGGUAACGGCUCACCAAGGCGACGAUGCGUAGCCGACCUGAGAGGGUGAUCGGCCACACUGGGACUGAGACACGGCCCAGACUCCUACGGGAGGCAGCAGUAGGGAAUCUUCCGCAAUGGGCGAAAGCCUGACGGAGCAAUGCCGCGUGAGUGAUGAAGGUUUUCGGAUCGUAAAGCUCUGUUGCCAGGGAAGAACGCUUGGGAGAGUAACUGCUCUCAAGGUGACGGUACCUGAGAAGAAAGCCCCGGCUAACUACGUGCCAGCAGCCGCGGUAAUACGUAGGGGGCAAGCGUUGUCCGGAAUUAUUGGGCGUAAAGCGCGCGCAGGCGGUCAUUUAAGUCUGGUGUUUAAUCCCGGGGCUCAACCCCGGAUCGCACUGGAAACUGGGUGACUUGAGUGCAGAAGAGGAGAGUGGAAUUCCACGUGUAGCGGUGAAAUGCGUAGAUAUGUGGAGGAACACCAGUGGCGAAGGCGACUCUCUGGGCUGUA